rnacentral:rRNA from 1 species
UACGGAGGGUGCGAGCGUUGUUCGGAAUCACUGGGCGUAAAGCGCGUGUAGGCGGCCUCUUAAGUCCGAUGUGAAAGCCCGGGGCUCACCCCCGGAAGUGCAUUGGAUACUGAGAGGCUGGAGUACCGGAGAGGAGGGUGGAAUUCCUGGUGUAGCGGUGAAAUGCGUAGAUAUCCGGAGGAACACCGGUGGCGAAGGCGGCUUCCUGGACCGAUACUGACGCUGAGGCGCGAAAGCUAGGGGAGCAAACGGG